AUGGUCUCCGACGACAUCAAGAUCAAGCCAUUGCAACGGCAGAAGGUAUGCGUGAUCGGAGCCGGGAUGGCCGGGCUGGCGUCGGCCCGCGAGCUGCGGCGGGAGGGCCACGACGUGACGGUUCUGGAGCAGAGCGGCGACGUGGGCGGGCAGUGGCGGUACGACCCGAGGACCGACGGCGACGACCCGCUCGGCGGCGCGGCGGCGCCGGUGAAGGUGCACAGCAGCAUGUACGCGUCCCUCCGCCUCAUCAGCGCGCGGGAGAACAUGGGGUUCACCGACUUCCAGUUCGCGCCCAAGGACGGCCGCGACGGCCGCCGCUUCCCGGGCCACCGCGAAGUGUACCUCUACCUCAAGGACUUCUGCGCCGCGUUCGGGCUCAUGGCGUCCGUCAGGCUCAACACCAGCGUCGUGCGUGUCGCUCUGGCGCCGGGCCCGACGCGGCGAUGGACGGUGAGGUCCGUCGAUCUCGGCAAGUGCCAUGGUGCCGAUGAGGAGGAGGAGGAGGUGUUCGACGCCGUGGUGGUGGCCAACGGCCACUACUCGCAGCCGAGGUUGCCAAGCAUCGAAGGCAUGGAGGCGUGGAGGGGGAGGCAGGUGCGCAGCCACUCGUACAGGGUGGCGGAGCCGUUCCGCGGCGAGGUGGUGGUGGUGGUCGGGUGCGGCGAGAGCGGCAAGGACAUCGCCAUGGAGGUCCGCAGGGUGGCUAAGGAGGUGCACCUCGUCGCCAAGUCCAUGGAGGAGGUGACCCAAGGGCUCGCCAAGGUGCUCUCCAAGUACAGCGCCAGCGUGCAUCUACAACUGCACGUGGAGCGGCUGUGCGAGGAUGGCCGGGUGGUGUUCGGCGACGGCUCCAGUGUCUUUGCCGACACCAUCAUCUACUGCACGGGGUACAACUACACUUUCCCGUUCCUGGAUACAGAGGGAGCGGUUACUGUCGACGACAACCGCGUCGGCCCGCUGUUCGAGCACGUGUUCCCGCCGUCACUGGCCCCGUCGCUCUCCUUCAUCGGUAUACCCAUAAAGGUGUUUGCGCCUUGGUUCUUCGAGGCUCAGGCGAAAUGGGUGGCGCAGGUGCUGUCCGGCAAGAGGACGCUGCCGUCGGAGGAGGAGAUGAUGCGGUCCGUGGAGGAGUAUUACCACGCCAGGGAGAUGGCUGGCGCGCCCAAGAAGUACACCCACGACGUCAGCUUGUUUGACACCACGUAUAUCGAUGAGUUCGGGAGCAAGUACUGCGACUUCCCUGGCGUGGAGAAAUGGCGUUACGAGCUGCUGUUGUCGUCGUUCGUCAACAUGUUGGACAACCUCGAGACCUUUCGCGAUGAGUACAAAGAUAGCGACUCCAUCCGCAACAGUGUGGAGGAGUGGCACUUGUCUGCACAACAGGCCCAAGCUACUGCCGCACCUGCUGCUACGAAAAAACAAUCACAGUGA
rnacentral:rRNA from 1 species